AGCGAACGCUGGCGGCGUGCCUAACACAUGCAAGUCGAACGUGAAAAGGGGCAACCCUGGGUAAAGUGGCGUACGGGUGAGUAACGCGUAGGCAAUCUACCCCAGAGUCUGGAAUAACCGGCCGAAAGGCUGGCUAAUACUGGAUAGAGCGACGGAAUCCGUAAUUGGGUUUUCGGAAAGGGAGGUCGUAAGAUCCCUUGCUCUGGGAUGAGCCUGCGUCCCAUCAGCUAGUUGGAAGGUAACGGCUUACCAAGGCGAUGACGGGUAGCUGGUCUGAGAGGAUGAUCAGCCACACUGGAACUGAAACACGGUCCAGACUCCUACGGGAGGCAGCAGUGGGGAAUCUUGCGCAAUGGACGAAAGUCUGACGCAGCCACGCCGCGUGAGUGAAGAAGGCCUCGGUUG
rnacentral:rRNA from 1 species